rnacentral:rRNA from 1 species
CAUGUAGGGCGCAAGCGUUGUCCGGAAUUAUUGGGCGUAAAGAGCUCGUAGGCGGACUGUCACGUCUGCUGUGAAAAGCUGGGGCUUAACCCUGGCCUUGCAGUGGAUACGGGCAGACUAGAGGUAGGUAGGGGAGAAUGGAAUUCCCGGUGUAGCGGUGAAAUGCGCAGAUAUCGGGAGGAACACCGGUGGCGAAGGCGGUUCUCUGGGCCUUACCUGACGCUGAGGAGCGAAAGCGUGGGGAGCGAACAGG